rnacentral:rRNA from 1 species
UACGUAGGGUGCAAGCGUUAAUCGGAAUUACUGGGCGUAAAGCGCACGUAGGCGGAUAUUUAAGUCAGGGGUGAAAUCCCAGAGCUCAACUCUGGAACUGCCUUUGAUACUGGGUAUCUUGAGUAUGGAAGAGGUGAGUGGAAUUCCGAGUGUAGAGGUGAAAUUCGUAGAUAUUCGGAGGAACACCAGUGGCGAAGGCGGCUCACUGG